AGCAGUAGCCACGGUAAUACGAACCGUGCGAACGUUAUUCGGAAUCACUGGGCUUAAAGCGCGUGUAGGCGGAUGGGAGCGUCGGCCUCUGAAAUCCCCCGGCUCAACCGGGGAAGUGGAGCCGAAACGACCCGUCUGGAGGGACGUAGGGGGACCUGGAACUUCCGGUGGAGCGGUGAAAUGCGUUGAGAUCGGAAGGAACGCCCGUGGCGAAAGCGAGGUCCUGGACGUCUGCUGACGCUGAGACGCGAAAGCCAGGGGAGCGAACGGGAUUAGAUACCCCUGUAGUCCCUGUCUCUUAUU
rnacentral:rRNA from 1 species